rnacentral:rRNA from 1 species
CAGCAGUGGGGAAUCUUCCGCAAUGGACGAAAGUCUGACGGAGCAACGCCGCGUGAGUGAUGACGGCCUUCGGGUUGUAAAGCUCUGUUAAUCGGGACGAAUGGUUCUUGUGCGAAUAGUGCGAGGAUUUGACGGUACCGGAAUAGAAAGCCACGGCUAACUACGUGCCAGCAGCCGCGGUAAUACGUAGGUGGCAAGCGUUGUCCGGAAUUAUUGGGCGUAAAGCGCGCGCAGGCGGAUUGGUCAGUCUGUCUUAAAAGUUCGGGGCUUAACCCCGUGAUGGGAUGGAAACUGCCAAUCUAGAGUAUCGGAGAGGAAAGUGGAAUUCCUAGUGUAGCGGUGAAAUGCGUAGAUAUUAGGAAGAACACCAGUGGCGAAGGCGACUUUCUGGACGAAAACUGACGCUGAGGCGCGAAAGCCAGGGGAGCGAACGGGAUUAGA